UACGUAGGGGGCUAGCGUUGUCCGGAAUCAUUGGGCGUAAAGCGCGUGUAGGCGGUCCGGUAAGUCCGCUGUGAAAGUCGGGGGCUCAACCCUCGGAUGCCGGUGGAUACUGUCGGGCUUGAGUACGGAAGAGGCGAGUGGAAUUCCUGGUGUAGCGGUGAAAUGCGCAGAUAUCAGGAGGAACACCGAAAGCGAAGGCAGCUCACUGGCGCACUCCUGACGCUGAAACACGAAAGCGUGGGUAGCGAAUGGG
rnacentral:rRNA from 1 species